GAUGAACGCUAGCGACAGGCUUAACACAUGCAAGUCGAGGGGCAGCACGGGAGUAGCAAUACAACUGGUGGCGACCGGCGCACGGGUGAGUAACGCGUAUGCAACCUACCUAUCAGAGGGGAAUAACCCGGCGAAAGUCGGACUAAUACCGCAUAAAACAGGGGCACCGCAUGGUGAUAUUUGUUAAAGAAAUUCGCUGAUAGAUGGGCAUGCGUUCCAUUAGGUAGUUGGUGAGGUAACGGCUCACCAAGCCGACGAUGGAUAGGGGAACUGAGAGGUUGGUCCCCCACACUGGUACUGAGACACGGACCAGACUCCUACGGGAGGCAGCAGUGAGGAAAAUUGGUCAAUGGGCGAGAGCCUGAACCAGCCAAGUCGCGUGAAGGAAGAAGGAUCUAUGGUUCGUAAACUUCUUUUGCAGGGGAAUAAAGUGCAGGACGUGUCCUGUUUUGUAUGUACCCUGAGAAUAAGGAUCGGCUAACUCCGUGCCAGCCGCCGCUGUAACAC
rnacentral:rRNA from 1 species